GCUGGCGGUAGGCUCUAACACAUGCAAGUCGAGCGAUCUCUUCGGAGAUAGCGGCGGACGGGUGAGUAACGCGUGGGAACAUACCCAGAGGUACGGAACAACAGUUAGAAAUGACUGCUAAUACCGUAUACGCCCUACGGGGGAAAGAAUUUCGCCUUUGGAUUGGCCCGCGUUGGAUUAGAUAGUUGGUGGGGUAACGGCCUACCAAGUCUACGAUCCAUAGCUGGUUUGAGAGGAUGAUCAGCCACACUGGGACUGAGACACGGCCCAGACUCCUACGGGAGGCAGCAGUGGGGAAUCUUAGACAAUGGGCGCAAGCCUGAUCCAGCCAUACCGCGUGAGUGAUGAAGGCCUUAGGGUCGUAAAGCUCUUUCGCCAGGGAAGAUAAUGACUGUACCUGGUAAAGAAGUCCCGGCUAACUCCGUGCCAGCAGCCGCGGUAAUACGGAGGGGACUAGCGUUGUUCGGAAUUACUGGGCGUAAAGCGCACGUAGGCGGACCAAAAAGUAUGGGGUGAAAUCCCAGGGCUCA
rnacentral:rRNA from 1 species